GGGGGCGAUCUGGGCUCGACGGGGUCGAGGUCUCCUCCGGGAGCGAGCCGAGGGUGCUCACCUCCUCGUAAAAAAGGUGAGAGAAAAAAUAAGCGUCGAACCAGAAAUGGCUCUUGCUGCUUAAUAGAUAAGCAGCUGCCUCCCUUCCAUUUGGCUGGUAUGGAAGGGUAAGGCAUCAUAGAACCAGCCAACCCCGAUAAGAUCGCCACCGUCUUAUUGGGGGAAAGUAGGUGGCACCGUCUGGUGAAUCCUGUCCGUGGGAGUCACCAGCUCGGUAAACAAAACACGGACUACGCUCGUAGGGCCUGGAGGAGAUCCUUCCUCGGACGCGGGUUCGAUUCCCGCCGCCUCCACCA
rnacentral:tmRNA from 1 species